AUAAGACCAGUGACUAGGGAUAUAUAAUCUAAAUAAACCCUCUCCCCCCAGUUUGCCUUUGGUCAUGUUAUUUCAUCAACAGAAUAGGAAGGAUAAAUGGGGCUUGUGAUGGGAGGACAGGCUAAAGAAAAAAAAGUGGGGAGGAACAACUGACACUAAAGGUCUUUCAGAAAAAUGACACUGACAUAUAUCAUUGUAGAAAUUUCCUAAAAUAUAACACUAUAAGAAAGCAACCUAAAUGGAGUUAACAUAUACUCAGGAAGAAAAUGCCCCAACUAGAUAUUUUAUGCUCAGAAAUAAAACCUCCAGUAGGAGAAAUGGAUUAUAUUUUCAGGAGUGGUUGACUCCAAGGGAACAUUGUCUUCAAGAUACAACAGUAAUAAUACACAUACUAACUUACAGAGACUAUGACAGCAUUCAUAAGACAUGAUCAAGUUCAAAGAAGACAAUAUCCAUCAAGAAGAAGGAUGAGUAGAUACAAAGACCCACUCCUAACCAAGAAAGCAUUUCCAACUGGAAGGGAAAAAUUGAUUUUCUCUAAUGGAGUGUCAUUGGGUAUAUCAAAUAAAAACUCCUUUUGUUGAUGAAGUAUUUGUUUGUAUGUAUGUGUUGUUUGCUUGGUUGUUAUACUCAGAUAUAUAACAGAUAUAAAGGAGUUUAUAAUUUUCAAAGUUGUUUCAGGCUAACCUCAAGCACCUAUAGAAGAACAACAGAUGAAGUUGCAUUAAAAAAAAACAGAACAAGGAAAAUAUAAACAUAUGAAAAAUAAAAUAAGCAAGUGAAUGAUUUGUAAAUAAUAUUGAAACUUUAUUUCACAUGAUCAUGAAUUAUAGUCGAAUAAAUGUUUCAAAUAUCAUUUAAAAUUAAGUAUUAUUUCUAUACAAUGCCACAUAACAAACAUUUGCAUAAAUUAAACAUGGAAUAUAUGUAGAAUAUUUAAAAUAAAUAUCUGUUUUACUGUGCUAUGUCUUGCUUUUGACUGCGGCAAAAAUGGAUAAAAUUAUUUCAUAUAUCUCUCUCUUUAGCACUCAUUUCUAUUUUUAUAUGCCCAUCUGUGUACAUGCACAUGUCCAUUCUAAUGCAUGUAGGGUUUGGAAAGGAGUGACUGGUUUCUCAGAGCAGGAGUUAGAGGCAGUUAUGAUCUUUUCAGUUUGAGUGGAAAGACUAGCACUCAGUGUCUCUGCAAAAACAUCAACUGUUCUUAACCAAAACCCAUCUCUGCAUCUUUAUACAUAACUUAAGUCUAAUACAUGCCAUGUGUCAUGUAGAUCUAUCUAUCUGUCUGUCUGUCUGUCUGUCUGCCUGCCUGCCUGCCUGCCUAUCUAUCUAUCUAUCUAUCUAUCUGUCUGUCUGUCUGUCUGUCUGUCUGUCUGUCUGUCUGCCUGCCUGCCUGCCUGCCUGCCUGCCUGUCUGUCUGUCUGUCUACAUAGUGGCCAACACAUAUAAUCAAAUCACAUGGGUGAUCUUUAUACUUAAAUCUCUGAAAUCAGAAUAGCAAAUAUAAACCUGGAAAGCCUAGCCCUAUCAUUCACAACUAUUGUGACAGCACAGGGUUUUUCCUAUACUAAAUCCAUGAAUUUUGGAAACUAAUGUCAUAUUUUUAUUAUCAUCAUUAUUUUUUUGCCUAGUAGAGAACGAUGAAAGAAGGUAAACACAAAUGAAAUUGCUGUCAAACACUCAUCAAGAAAAAUGCACUCAGGAGAAACCAUCUGUAUUUUCAUAUAUUUUCUCAGACACAAGGGAAACGCUCUGUAGAAAUUAAAAUGAUAUGUGGUGUCUUGAGAUAUCUCAUAAAAGGCUUAGGGAUGUAAAGAUGCUUUUAUAAUAAUUUCACUCAGAAUUCACAUUAAAUAUCUACAUCCUGUCAUUGGUUAUUGAGCUAAAAUUUUGUUUGAUAAAUUCAAAUAUAUUCAGGGAAACAUAUUUGCAAAUUAAAUUAUUAUUAAUAUUUAUAGCUGGCACUCUGUCAUGUUUGCCAAGCUGAGGUAAUGGCAUAUUUAGUUGUUGUGAUAAUAAAUGUCCCAUGAAAUAGAGCUGUUUGUGAGCAAGACUGUUCUAGCUGACUUGAACAUAGCUACUGAAUUCUGUGCUGAAAGAUUUCCUUCUCUCUGAACAUCACACAUUUCCUAUGUAGGUAAUGCAUAAACAAACUACUCACAUCAAGGAAAAAAAUCAGUACAUGACAGCAGAGUAAUAUCAGGGUAUAACUUUUAAAGUCAAAGCUCACAAUAACUUGCAUUAAAAUAUUUUCAACUAAAUCUGAAUAAAAAUGUAAGUUAUCUCAUAUAACAAAACUUUCAUAUUUAAUGUAUUGUAUAUAUCCAUAUUAUUUAAAAAUACAUUAAAGAAAAUAAUAUUUGUCCUUUUACACUAUUAUAGUUAAAAUAAUUAUAGAUGUCAUCUUAUGGUUUGGCAAAAAUUAAUUAUUUAAUUCUUAUGUAAAGUACUGAACACAAUUUUUCAAAUUGUGCUUUGUUUAGAAGGGUCAUGGUGCUUACUGUUUAGAUUUCAAACAACAAAAUCCUUUCUUUAAUGUUAUUGUGUGAUCCUUGUAGAGGCUGUGGGGCAGAGUUCAACACAGGUCUUCCUGUACACCUCAGACUGGCUUUGAACUUGGGGUGAUCCUCUGGUAUCAACUGCCUGAAUACUAUGAAUUUAAAUGUUCUUCAGCCUUUCUGGUUCCACACAUUCGUUUGAAACUGUUCUAUAUUUCCUUUUAAUAUAGAUUUCUAAACUUCAAGAACAGCUAAGUCAGCAUUCAUUAUUUAUGAAUAAAAAUGAUCUAGCUUAAUUUUGAAGCCUAUGAUGCUGUUGCAUAUUGCAAUUUGCUAUAUUAUAUAAACGAGUAAGCAGAUGGCAGUGUGCAGUAAUUUUUAUUUAUUAUUUGUUUUAGAAUUUCGGAUGUUUCUGAAAGACUUGGAUUGUUAAAUUUAAAUUGUGACUGAAAUCAUGAGACUAAAUUGCACUUAAUAAACACUAAGAGGGUUUUCCAAAUAACAUGUGUUAAUCAAAUAUUUGGCACAAGGAUUUCCAGUGCUACAGUAACAAUUAUUGUGUAAAUAACUAUUUUUGUAAUUUAUAAACAUGUAGGAUCUGAUACUAGCAUUUAUAGUAAUUCACUGGUAUAGUUCAUCAAAAUAUCUCUCUACAAAUUGUACUCUGAAUUACAAUGUAUUGUUUCAAUUGCUUGAAUAUGAUUCGCACAUAUAUGAAAAAAGAACACAAAAUAAAAUAAAAAGGUUG
rnacentral:lncRNA from 1 species